rnacentral:misc_RNA from 1 species
AGCAGCCGCGGUAAUUCCAGCUCCAAUAGCGUAUAUUAAAGUUGUUGCAGUUAAAAGCUCGUAGCUGAAUUUCGGGAUCAAUAUGCUGGUCGUGCCAUUGGUACGUACUAGUAUUAUUGGUUUCUCCUUUCUGAUGAAUCAUGAUGUCAUUAAUUUGAUGUCAUGAGGAAUCAGGACUGUUACUUUGAAAAAUUGAGUGUUUAAAGCAGGCUCGCGCUUGAAUACAUUAGCAUGGAAUAAUGAAAUAGGAUGUUUGAUUCUAUUUUGUUGGUUUCUAGGAUUGACGUAAUGAUUAAUAGGGAUAGUUGGGGGCAUUAGUAUUCAAUUGUCAGAGGUGAAAUUCUUGGAUUUAUUGAAGACUAACUACUGCGAAAGCAUUUGCCAAGGAUGUUUCAUUAAUCAAGAACGAAAGUUAGGGAUCGAAGACGAUCAGAUACCGUCGUAGUCUUAACCAUAAACUAUGCCGACUAGGGAUCGGAUGAGUUU